AGUGAACGCUGACGGUAGGCCUAACACAUGCAAGUCGAACGGCAGCACAGUAAGAGCUUGCUCUUACGGGUGGCGAGUGGCGGACGAGUGAGGAAUACAUCGGAAUCUACUUUUUCGUGGGGGAUAACGUAGGGAAACUUACGCUAAUACCGCAUACGACCUACGGGUGAAAGCAGGGGAUCUUCGGACCUUGCGCGAUUGAAUGAGCCGAUGUCGGAUUAGCUAGUUGGCGGGGUAAAGGCCCACCAAGGCGACGAUCCGUAGCUGGUCUGAGAGGAUGAUCAGCCACACUGGAACUGAGACACGGUCCAGACUCCUACGGGAGGCAGCAGUGGGGAAUAUUGGACAAUGGGCGCAAGCCUGAUCCAGCCAUACCGCGUGGGUGAAGAAGGCCUUCGGGUUGUAAAGCCCUUUUGUUGGGAAAGAAAAGCAGCAGGUUAAUACCCCGCUGUUCUGACGGUACCCAAAGAAUAAGCACCGGCUAACUUCGUG
rnacentral:rRNA from 1 species